rnacentral:rRNA from 1 species
CGGGGAUGACGUCAAGUCCUCAUGGCCCUUACAUCCCGGGCUACACACGUGCUACAAUGGCAGGUACAGAGGGCUGCGAAGCCGCGAGGUGGAGCGAAUCCCAGAAAACCUGUCUCAGUCCGGAUUGAAGUCUGCAACUCGACUUCAUGAAGGCGGAAUCGCUAGUAACCGCGAAUCAGCAGGUCGCGGUGAAUACGUUCCCGGGCCUU